UUGCCAGCCCGCUCAGAAACUUAAUGGAAUUGACGGGGCCGCACAAGCGGUGGAGUAUGUGGUUUAAUCGACGCAACGCGCAGACCUUACCUGGUCUUGACAUCCCGAGAAUUUCCUGGAAACAGGAAAGUGCCUCGCAAGAGGAACUUGGUGACAGGUGCUGCAUGGCUGUCGUCAGCUCGUGUCGUGAGAUGUUGGGUUAAGUCCCGCAACGAGCGCAACCCUUGUCUUUAGUUGCCAUCAUUAAGUUGGGCACUCUAAAGAGACUGCCGGUGUCAAACCGGAGGAAGGUGGGGAUGACGUCAAGUCCUCAUGGCUUUUAUGACCAGGGCUACACACGUACUACAAUGGCAGGUACAAAGGGCAGCCACUUAGCGAUAAGGAGCGAAUCCCGUAAAACCUGUCUCAGUCCGGAUUGGAGUCUGCAACUCGACUCCAUGAAGUUGGAAUCGCUAGUAAUCGCAGAUCAGCACGCUGCGGUGAAUACGUUCCCGGGCCUU
rnacentral:rRNA from 1 species